UACAGAGGUCUCAAGCGUUGUUCGGAUUCAUUGGGCGUAAAGGGUGCGUAGGCGGCGUGGUAAGUCGGGUGUGAAAUUUCGGAGCUCAACUUCGGAACUGCACUCGAUACUGCCGUGCUUGAGGACUGGAGAGGAGACUGGAAUUCACGGUGUAGCAGUGAAAUGCGUAGAUAUCGUGAGGAAGACCAGUGGCGAAGGCGAGUCUCUGGACAGAUCCUGACGCUGAGGCACGAAGGCCAGGGGAGCAAACGGG
rnacentral:rRNA from 1 species